rnacentral:rRNA from 1 species
ACAAGUACCGUGAGGGAAAGUUGCAAAGCACUUUGAAGAGAGAGUUAAAGAGGACGUGAAACCGGUAAGGUGGAAACGGAUAGAGUCGGCGUAUCAUUCAAUUAUUCAGUUACAUUAUUUUUAUGUUGUGACCUCUGAGCUCCAGAUUGGGACAGAGGGAAUCAGCAUAAUUUUUUGUGGUGCAUUUACUUGAUUGGUGCUUGGGGAUGUUUGAGGCAGAUUUGUUUCCGUCGUUUUGAGGCCAGCUUGCUGGUACCCAAACGGUGUUAGCAUUUUUUGUCUUGGGCAUUUGAGUAUGGCUCACGUGCAUUUAUUGGACAGAUCUGAGUGUAAGUUACGGUCGCAUGCGACACGUGCUUUUCAAUUAGUUCGGUCCAGUUAAUGCUCUCGUACUCGUUCCCCAUGUAAAAGCCGGUCAUCUAUCCGACCCGUCUUGAAACACGGACCAAGGAGUUUAUCGUGUGCGCAAGUUUUUGGGUGUUAAAAACUUAAAAGCGAAAUGAAAGUAAAUGACUCUUUAGAGUCUGAUGUGCGAUCUUGUAAAAAAGUGUAGCAUGGCCCCAUUCUAACUGUUUACAGUAGGGUGGCGGAAGAGCGUACGCGGUGAGACCCGAAAGAUGGUGAACUAUUCCUGAGCAGGACGAAGCCAGAGGAAACUCUGGUGGAAGUCCGAAGCGGUUCUGACGUGCAAAUCGAUCGUCUGACUUGGGUAUAGGGGCGAAAGACUAAUCGAACCAUCUAGUAGCUGGUUCCUUCCGA